rnacentral:rRNA from 1 species
GACGAACGCUGGCGGCGUGCCUAAUACAUGCAAGUAGGACGCAGUUGCGAACGGGUGAGUAACGCGUAGGUAACUACCUAUUAGAGGGGGAUAACUAUUGGAAACGAUAGCUAAUACCGCCUACUAGUAGAUGGACCUGCGUUGUAUUAGCAAGUAGGUAGGGUAAUGGCCUACCUAGGCAACGAGACAUAGCCGACCUGCGAGGGUGAUCGGCCACACUGGGACUGAGAAACGGACCAGACUCCUACGGGAGGCAGCAGUAGGGAAGCUGCGGCAAUGGGGGGAACCCUGACCGAGCAACGCCGCGUGAGUGAAGAAGGUUUUCGGAUCGUAAAGCUCUGUUAUUAGUGAAGCGGUACCUAAUCAGAAAGCCACGGCUAACUACGUGCCAGCAGCCGCGGGAAUAC